rnacentral:tRNA from 1 species
GGUGAGAUGGCUGAGAGCGCUCCCCUGCUAAGGGAGUAUGUAGUUUAUAGCUGCAUCGAGGGUUCGAAUCCCUCUCUCACCGCCA